rnacentral:rRNA from 1 species
GAUGAACGCUGGCGGCGUGCCUAAUACAUGCAAGUCGAGCGAACAGAUGAGGAGCUUGCUCCUCUGACGUUAGCGGCGGACGGGUGAGUAACACGUGGAUAACCUACCUAUAAGACUGGGAUAACUUCGGGAAACCGGAGCUAAUACCGGAUAAUAUAUUGAACCGCAUGGUUCAAUAGUGAAAGACGGUUUUGCUGUCACUUAUAGAUGGAUCCGCGCCGCAUUAGCUAGUUGGUAAGGUAACGGCUUACCAAGGCAACGAUGCGUAGCCGACCUGAGAGGGUGAUCGGCCACACUGGAACUGGGACACGGUCCAGACUCCUACGGGAGGCAGCAGUAGGGAAUCUUCCGCAAAGGGCGAAAGCCUGACGGAGCAACGCCGCGUGAGUGAUGAAGGUCUUCGGAUCGUAAAACUCUGUUAUUAGGGAAGAACAAAUGUGUAAGUAACUACGCACGUCUUGACGGUACCUAAUCAGAAAGCCACGGCUAACUACGUG